GCUCAGUAUAUGUUGUUUCCAUAUAUCAUCAUCUUAACAAGCACACAUUCUCUGCUGCCAACAGUACCAAUUUGUCAACCAAGCAACAAAUAUUCCUUGGUAAUCUGCUAUCAGAUAACAGUUUUCUCGUUGGCAUUUUUAUGAAUUAAAGCUUUCAAGGCUUAAUGUUUUGGUCAAGUUUCAGAUUUGUUUAGCAUAAUCCUGUACUACAUAUUAACAAAUGUUUGGUGUGUCUAGUUCAUCUCUCUCACUAUGAAGAUGGCUACACACUAUCAGCAAUGCACCCCUAUGAUAUACAAGUCUUCAUUGCCAAGUCACUCUGCCAAACAGUGUGUACACCUUUCUUGCAGUGGUAGUACUUUACUGUACUUCAAUCACUUCAGGAGUCUGGAUAUGUCAGCCCAAGGCCAAGGAGAUCAAGUUUGUGUCCAAGGUUACUUAGGUAAUUCUCUAAGAACAAUAGGUUUUUUUUUUUAAAGACACACACUACAUGUUGCUGAUCUGUGGGUUAGUGGCUCAAUCAUUGUGCACUGAUUCUCCACUGAUGCCUAGAUUGCCAUAAGUUUAUCUAUUGAUCUACAGAUCAAGUGAGUUUUUCUCAAAUCAAGUAGGGACUAAAUGGUCUAUUAAACAUGAGGUCAAGGAAAAAGGAUGAACAUUUCAAGGCUGCAGGAGGAACAUUAAACAUCUCUCUCACUGUGAAAAGAUUCUACCGAUCUACAAAUGAUCAACAUGUUUUAUCUAAAGUUCAUCUGCCAUUUCUUCAAAUGGAGCCAUAGUCAGAAUAAGAUUCUUUUUGUUCUUCCUUAGGUUCAAAUGUAUCAGUUGUUUUUGUUGACAGAUAUCAAGGUACAGAAAUAAGAAUCUAAUUUAGAGUUUUUUAAAGCUUGAUUAGUCAUAAUAUUUGCACUAUUAUUUCCAAUAUGUGCCAGAGUGUCUGCUAAAUGUAACUAGUAUGAUUAAAAACAUGGUCAUUGCAAAGUCUAACAUAUGGACAAGUAGGAUGCUUGUGGCUUGAUUCAGUGAAAGAAUGUUGGACAAGCAGAAGUGUUAUGGAGUGGGUGUGUGUGUUUUUAUGGUGACUGUGGAAAGAGGUUAGCGAUUGGAUGUGAAUGAUGCAAAAGUGGCAUUGUCGUCACUUGGUCUUAGGGAGACGACUCCAGAAUGUAAGACUGAAAGGUUGUGUUAUUGUAGUGAGUUAGAUUGUAAGAAAUUUUAUUACUUAAGUCUCUACUACAUUUAUUUCAUGUGAUCACAAGUAUUAUAAAUGUUAUAUUUAGUUUCGUUCACUAGGAAGUUGUUCAAGUUCUUAUUAGCUAAGAUAUAUUAUGCCUUCAACAGUUUAGUUGCCUACCAGCAGUUUGGUGCUACAAGUCAACAACAGUCAGACUAAAUUAAAUAAAGCCAUGACUAUUUCUACAUGAUUUUGUUGCUACUAACCUGGUGUUACUAACAACUAACUUGAAAAGGGAGAGGGGAAUUAUCAUCUUAUUCAUGCUCUAACUCUUCAAAUUCUAUAGAAUUGCAGAGAACUGACAUGAAAUAAAACAUUAACAAAAUGUGUAUUAUAAUUGUCAUUUUUCCUCUACUUAGCAUUUUUUUGUCUCCUAGAUUUUCAUAAUAUUUUGUUGAAGUCAUUUCAGUUCUCAAUUAUUUUGUGCACUAAGUUACAAGAAAAAAUUCAAGCAAAAGAGGUCACUACACUAAGACUUUGUCUUCUCAUAAGAAUGGAUGGCUGCCUGGUCAUGUGAUAUGUGUGCUGGACUGUGUGUGGUCAUCUUGAUGCUCAUAUCUUGCCUGAUGACAUUUAUUCUGCUGGACAUUUGGUCAAGGAAGUAGAUUCUCUUCAGCUCUCAAGAAACAUUCAAAACAUGUCAAACAUUUGACAAGAAUGUCAAGCAAGUGCAGUGUACAUGCAAAAGUUUUUAGACCAACAUGAUGAAGAUGUAGACCAACAUGAUGAAAAGGUAGACCAGCAUGAUGAAAAGGUAGACCAACAUGAUGAAGAUAUAGACCAGCAUGAUGAAGAUGUAGACCAACAUGAUGAAAAGGUAGACAACAUGUACAUGUAGACCAGCAUGAUGAAGAUGAAGACCAACAUGAAGAUCUAGACCAACAUGAAGAUCUAGACCAACAUGAAGAUGUAGGCCGACAUGAUGAAGAUGUAGAUUGACAUGAUGAAGAUGUAGACUGACAUGAUGAAGAUGUAGACUGACAUGAUGAAGAAUGAAGACCGACAUGAUGAAGAUGUAGACCGACAUGAAGAUGAAAUGUAAACCAAAAUAUUGAUCAAGAGAUGUAUGGAAUAAAAAGUGAACAUCUUGAGAGGGAAAACAAUUCCUAGAGGCAAAGACACAGACACAGUAGAUACAUUAGAGAUUGUUUCCUUUUCUACCAUCAUUUAGAGCCUUUUUUGUGAGGGAACCUGCGUCUUUAAAGAAAUGAACAUUUCCCUAAUGCUACUUCAAAUUCAGAUCUCCUCCCAACCUCAGGCUGAGUACCCGUGGUCACCUACUUUAUGUUACAUUACCAUAGCACUACAGACAGUGGAAAACAAAUUAUAUGAAGGAAUGCAACCACCAUCAGAUAUUGUUGUCUUUACAGACUCACAAUCUACUCUGCAAGAACUUAACAGCAGCACCUCAAACAGCCCAAGAGAGUUGACAACACUCAUUGUGAUAAUCCAUCAGAUGAUAUCAAAAUUAAAUAUCAAUAUCACACUACAGUGGAUCCCUGGACACAUUGGCAUCAUGGGAAAUGAAAAGGCAGAUAAGCUAUCAAAGGCAGGUUCAUCUAUGGAACAACCAGAUAGACCUGUUAACUACCUCACCCUAAGGUCAAUGUUAGUCAACAAUCACAAAGAGGAUUGGCUCAACCAAUGGGCAUCAGGAAACACAGGCAGAGCCAUGUACAAAGCAAUGACUACGCCUAACAAACUGGACAGUAUUAACUUCCUCCCCUGCAAAGAACAAUCUACAAUUUUCCAACAGGACACACUCCACUAUUAAAUUACCACUCCACACAACUCCUCCUUUGCAGACACUGCGCCCACCCCUUUGAAACCGUAAACCAUAUCCUCUUUGAAUGCCCCUCCCUAAUCCACCUUAGGCAGACCCUACUUCCACUACAGCCCAACAUAACCAACACCCUGUACGCAGUGCUGAACAACUGAAGAAAACAGCACACUUUUUUUCCUUGGCACAGUCUGCAAAAGAGCUCACAGCUCAGCAGUAAUAAAGCUGGCUAGAAGAAGAAGAAAAAAAAGAGGUUACAUUACAAGAAGUGGUCGCAAAGUCAGAAAACCUAACAGAUGACAAUGAAUAGAACAAUCAUUUCUAACAUAGGUACAAGUGAUGUACUUUGUAAUAACUAUUUGGGUGGAAUCACCAUAAUUGACUUGUAUCUUGUUCUAUAUUUAGGUAAAUCUUGUCAUUCAGUCCAGUUCUUUUUAAUAUUCCUUUUUUUCCCCUCAAUCUUCUUGUUGUUUCAGUGAAAUGUUUUUAUCUUUUUUGUUUUGGAGGAGGGAGUGGCUGUGGUAUAUUAUCAUUAUCAUUAUUGGAGUCACAACACCAAAGCCUUGCUACAUUAUGCUUUUAAUUCAAUUUAUUAUCUCCCCUGCUUUUGUGUGCUAUCAUAUUAAUGUUCAUUAGUGUCACAUCCAUGCACAAUUUGUUCUAUGCUUUUUAUAGUGUAAAUAGUGACUUGACAUUAUUUAGAUCAAUUAUAUGUUAUAUUAUAUUUAAACUAAAACUGUUAACAUUUUCUAUUAUUAAUAUGAAUGUGUUUGUGUGUUGCUAUGAAUGCAUUUUAAGUUUUAGUCUGAAAUCAUAAAUAAGAAAUUGUUUCAUAAACAAAGAUUAUAUUAAUAUUUCAGACUUCACUAUAGCAUUGAGUUCAUCCCCAUAGUCUAUUUAAAACUUUCAAAUACUAAUUCACUUUGUCUUAUCUAAUGGUGAUCAUGGGGGUAUCCACUAUCCAUAGUCUCUGGUAUGAACACUCACUGUCCUGGUUAGGGCUAGGAUGUAAUCUCUAUUUCUGAUGGAACACAUGUAAAACCAAGAAAACAAACAGUAGACCUAGACUUUAUUAACAGGUCAUGCAAGCAUUUUUUUAUAAUUGUGAACUGACACUCCCAGAGCUAUUUUUAUGUAUUUUUAUUUUUGCUACUUUUGUAGACUAGUGCUAAGCUGUAUGCUUAUACUUCCGCCUAUUAUUAUAUGGGUUAGGGCGAUGCUGUUUCCUGUACUGUUGACCAGAGUGUGUCAGUUUUAAUUAUUCUGUACUUGGAACUGCCUUUAAGUUUCAGAAUUUGUUUUUUUUUUCUAUAUGUAAAGCUACUUUAUAUAUAUAGUUAUAUAUUAUGGUACAUUAUUUUUCUAAUUGAAACAUCUGUCAAAAUAAUUGGCAGUUUGUUUUUUUAAAGUUUGUUUUAAAAUGAUGGCCACUUCUAAUGUUUAUGUACUAGAUCUUUUCCUAAUUUUUUUGUUUAUCUGCAGUGUUUUGUAACUGCUGCUUUGCUCAUUUGAAUUAAAGUAUCAUUUUAUUUCUUCUCUUUCUUGAUUUCUUUUAUCAAGCCCCUUGGUCACAGACUGAGGUGGACAGAUACAACCCACCCAGUAGACCUUCUGGCAACUGUAACUUCUUGUUAGUGCAGGCUAGACAUGACCUUGGGCCCUGCCAUGCUAACAUAAUACUAAUAUUCUCUUGAAUCAUUCCAGACAGCAUUGAGACCACCCCUGUCCCUAACAAUACAUAAUUACCUUGCUUUAGUUGUAGAAUGAAAGUUGAGCA